rnacentral:rRNA from 1 species
AGUGAACGCUGGCGGUAGGCCUAACACAUGCAAGUCGAACGGCAGCACAGUAAGAGCUUGCUCUUACGGGUGGCGAGUGGCGGACGGGUGAGGAAUACAUCGGAAUCUACUUUUUCGUGGGGGAUAACGUAGGGAAACUUACGCUAAUACCGCAUACGACCUACGGGUGAAAGCAGGGGAUCUUCGGACCUUGCGCGAUUGAAUGAGCCGAUGUCGGAUUAGCUAGUUGGCGGGGUAAAGGCCCACCAAGGCGACGAUCCGUAGCGGGUCUGAGAGGAUGAUCAGCCACACUGGAACUGAGACACGGUCCAGACUCCUACGGGAGGCAGCAGUGGGGAAUAUUGGACAAUGGGCGCAAGCCUGAUCCAGCCAUGCCGCGUGGGUGAAGAAGGCCUUCGGGUUGUAAAGCCCUUUUGUUGGGAAAGAAAAGCAGCAGGUUAAUACCCCGCUGUUCUGACGGUACCCAAAGAAUAAGCACCGGCUAACUUCGUG